CUUUUUCCGUCUCUAAAUCAAAAUCCUGUUUCUCCUCCAUGGUCACAAGCUCCAGCACAGCACGGCAAUGCAUGGGUGCAGCAGAAUCAAAGACCGGAAAGGCAAUAAUACCCCUUACUCCACAAGAGAUGGCAUCUGAUAGGUGUGAGUAUUCACUCGGUCUGUAAUAGCGUACAUUUGAACUCCAUUCUGGAAAUCCACAAUUCCAUUCCCGAGCAAAAAGCUCCGGACAUGAAAGCCCUUUCCGACCCUCCAGUUGACGAUAUUCAAGAAGCGUAGAAUUUGGGACGCACAAGUGAGGGUAAGGGAGAUUUUGCAGGCCGAUUCCUAAAGAAUUUUUAAGCAACGACAAUGCUUUUUCCAUCUUUUCCCAUAGACUCAACAUUGCAGGAGGCAAAUCAUCAUCGGCGCAAGACAAAUGUUCCUAAUCCAUUUGUAUUUUGACAAUUUUGUCUGCGACAAUUCUUCUCACUCCUCAGAUCAUCUUGUCCAUGGCUGGAAAGUGGAACGAUGAGGAGUGGUUAAACACUUGAAGGAGGUUGACUUGACUUCUAAUUUUGAUAAUAACUAACGAGGAAGCUUCCUCUGGCACACUUUGCUCCAUCAGUUUUCAUCUCUCCAUGUUUUACAUGGGUGUUACAUUUACAGGCUACAAGAACAAGAAGUUUCAUCAGGGUAAAAAAAACAUAAUAUCAAUUGACAAAAGCCAAUAUAUUUAAAACUGUUAGUUGCAACAAAAGGGUUUUCUGCAGAUCCAUACUAUUUCCACAGUUUUUCGCGUUUGUAAUAAUUUUUUUUCAAGAUCCAUUAUAGGGACCGAAACAAAAGUAAUUCAUUUUUUUCAUCUCAACUUUCCAGGUGAGAUGAAAAAAAUCCGCUAAUCUUCUUUUCUUGCCCCGGUUUUGUAUCUGCCAUAGCUCAUAACGUAUGCAGCCAUUUACCAAGUUAUGCAGUCGCCUGUCAACCCAAUCACUCUGACAUGAUGCAGCUAAUGAAUCCCAUAUCUCAACAACUUGCCUUUUCAAUUGUAGAACAAAUAGAAAGAAAUGACUUCUUUUCUCGUCAAAGACAGGAACAAACGCCUGCAGCAUAACUAAGCAUGGGAUGCAUUAAUUGGACUAAAAAAAACCAAACUUCACCUUUCCACAGCAUAAAAGAUCUGACAUGUAGUUUUCCUUGAUCCUGUGCUGUGCUUUUUCGCGAAAGAAAUACACUUAGAUGGAUCAUCUGAAUUCCCCUGUACAACACAUGAGCAUAAGGAAAUUCUGUUUUUUCAUGUAGUGGACUUGUAAAAUUGAACAGAAUAAUAAGAUGUCAGUUGUCCAAAUAUGAUCUUGGAAGUGUGAUUUUGGGGCCGGGGAUUUGCUGUCCACAGUAGAAAUAAAAAAUAGACGAAAUACCUUUUUUUUUUUUAGUAUCGAAUUAUUUUUAAAAUAUCGAAUUUUAUUAAAAUAAUGUUUUAAAAUAUUUUAAAAUAUCGAAUUAUAUUAAAAUAAUAUUUUUAAAAUUUUUAAAAAUUAUUUUUAAGAUGAAUACAUCAAAACAAUUCAAAAUAUAUAAAAAAAUUAAUUUUUAACCAAAAAAAAUUAAAAUUUUUAAGAACACAAACACAACCAUAUUUUCAAUAACUCACAAAAGAUUUUGAGAAAAGUCAAUCGAACUUGUAUUUUUUAAUUGAGAUAACAAAGCCCACCAUCUCACUCUCAAUCCAUGGAAACUAUUGAAAAUAAUGCUGAGUAGCAAAAAGUACUGGGAUAUGACUUGCCAUGUUUUGGAAGAUAAAUAUCUCAUAAAUUUAUUAGAGAUAUAUUUUUCAUUUCAUUUAAAUUACAUUUAAAACAUUUAAUAAUAGUAAAAUAUUGAUUUUUUACGAAAGCUCAAAAAAUUAUAUAUAUCUCAAAAAAUUAAAAAUGAUGUUAUAUUAAAUAAACUUAAUAAUAAUGAAUAUAAUAAUUAAUAAAAAAACAUAAUUACUCAUCAUCAUAGAUAAAAAUGAAUCAAAUCAAAUGAAAACAAUAAAAAUAUUUUAAUUAAAAAAUAAAGUAAAAAAAUUUAUCAAUUUACAUCUGCUACAAUUAAAAAUAUUAUAAUUUUGCAAAAUUUUUAAAAUUCUUGUGAAUGUCAAAAAUCUGAAAAGAUAAAAUAUAAUCUAAAUAAGAAUGUUAUCAUCAAGUUUAGGAAAUGCAGAUCAAAUGUUAGCAAGGUUGAUCCCAAACACCACACAGAAAGACAAAAGAGGAUUUCAGCUUUUGAUAUUGUUUUGAGCAUCGUGACCCUGUUAAUAAUCAUUACAAGGGAAGUGUGUGACUUUGCAACCAAAUUUCAUUAACAAAUAAUGGUAGGAAAAAACGAUGUUCAGAAAUUUAGGGGAAAAAUCAUUUUGAAACCACUUGUCUCUAGACAGUGAAGAACUCAAUUGAUAAAAAUUUCCUGGUGGUGAAGUUUCAUCAGCCUAGCAAAAGAGUUUCACGAUGCCUUUAUCGGAUUGGCUUUAGGGAAAAAGGGAGUGGUUUUAAAGACGGUGUUCUUGAAGUGGAAAGGAAUGGUGUGGUUUUAUUGAAAGAAAAUACGAGGGAGAUGGAGACUGGAGGUGGAGGAGAGUGUGAGAACAAGAGAGAGAGGCAUGAUGAGGAGCCUAAGUUUACUGUCAUUUUUCCAAAUACAUUUGACUUCAAACUCAAUAUGCGAAGGAAAGCUACUUUCUUUCAUCUCUUUCAUAUUCUCCUGUUUCUCCUCCAUGUCAUAAGCUCCAGCACUUCACAGCAAUAACACUACACUGUAGCAGCCGGGAAAACCAGAUGUAUGUUUUUUUUGUUCCAAGAACUCAUUUUUAAUCUAAAAUAUUAAUAAAACAUUCUAGGCAUCUUGAUCAACCAAUUCAUGAACUCAAAAAGUCCAAAACCAUUCUGAAACUGGAAAUCAACUUGAAAUAAAAAAAAUUUCCGAGUUUAGAUUUAUUUUUUUAGAUACUUUUAAAAUAAAAAAAAACCAUUUAAUAUGAAUUACAAUCAUCAAAUCAUCAAAUGAAAUCAUGAUAUUCCCAUAGAUUGUCUGAAUACUUUCUUUCAUAUUGAUGAUUUACGUCUUUCAUAUUCUCAUUUCUUGCCAAAAAUUCUCUAUGAUUUCCAAACCUCUGCUCAUAAUAUGCCUCAGCCUUGGAAGCCAAAUUAUUCCUGCAUGAGUUGACAUCACUCGCUAGCAAUCUUAGUACCACUUCCAACCUCUCGUUAUCGCUUUCGAACUGCAUGUUGGCUAGAUAAUUAGAAAGAUUGUCAUACCUUUAUCUUCAGUAAGCGCACAUUAAUGUUAAAAUAUUACCAAAAAAUCAGGACUCGUCACUUCUUCUGGUGCUAGCAUAAACUUGAUAACAUAUACACCACAGUCGUAUCUGCACAGAAAGAAAUCAUGUCAACUGAUGUGGCUUACAGUAUUUUAAAGGUACUCAACAAUAUGUAACCUAACUACUCAAUAUAUUGUGGAUCAUAAAUAUAUAUAUACAUACCCAUUUGGUUGCUGUGGGACAUUCGAUGGUCUUUCCACUCUGAAAUCUGUGAAGGACCAAACAUUUUGGUAGUUCUGAUGUAUAUCAUCUUUGAAAAGGGCGUCCAGGCUAACCAACUGGUUUGUGAAAAUGUUUUGGCAGCAAAAAGUUCAUAAAGCCCAUUAGUACAGUGGUUAACUAGGGUUGCAAGGUAGCUCAUGGAGUAUGCAGCCAUUUACCAAGUUACGCAGUCGCCUGUCAACCCAAUCACUCUGACUUGAUGCAGCAAUUGAAUCCCAUAUCUCUACAACUUGCCUUUUCAAUUGUAGAACAAAUAGAAAGAAAUGACUUCUUUCCUUGUCAAAGACAGGAACAAACGCCUGCAAAUAUAGUUUUCACAGCAUAACUAAGCAUGGGAUGCAUUAAUUGGACUAAAGAAAACCAAACUUCACCUUUUCACAGCAUAAAAGAUCUGACAUGUAGUUUUCCUUGAUCCUGUGCUUUUUCGCGAAAGAAAUACACUUAGAUGGAUCAUCUGCAUUCUCCUGUACAACACGUGAGUAUAAGGAAAUUGUGUUUUUUCAUGUAGUGGACUUGUAAAAUUGAACAGAAUAAGAUGUCAAUUGUACAAAUAUGAUCUUGGAACCUACCGCAAAAACAAUUGGCAGAUACCAAUUUACAGAAUCUUCUAUCUUCCUCUUAACUAAAGUCAUGGCAUCAGAUAUCGUAGAAAGGACGUUAUCAUCAAGCCAGGUCUCUGGUCUCAGAGAGUAUAGUUCCCUCCGAGAUAAAUGAUAAUUCUUGCAUUGGACAAUAGUCUCACUAGCAGAAACAGGUACAGAAUAGGUCAACUGGUGAACUUAAAUGCAUUCAGCUAAGCAAACUAUAACUUGGGGGAAAAGAAUCUGACCUCUCACUCAGUGAAGAAUCAAAGACAUAUUGGAUUAACUUUAAGUCCUCUGGACUGGUAGGUUUGCUCACUGUAAACGGACCAGCCAAAUAUUUGGACAUUUGCUUUCCAGGUGAGUCAAAUCUCACAUCUGUGGAGACCAGAGAAGAACCAGGCUUCCCUUCCUUGCUGCUGCAAAUAUGGAAGACAAAAACAAAUUGAGAAAAAUGAUAAUCCCAUAAAAUGUGAACAUUCAAUUUCGGGCGAUGAAAACUAUAGUUACAAAUUGAUACUGUAAUUGAAAUUACAAGGUUGCACCAUUAAGCUUAGGAAAUGCAAAUCAAAUCUUAGCAUAGUUGAUCUUGUUAAUAAUCAUCACAAGGGAAGUGCGGGACUUUUUCUUCCUGCACUUUGCAGACCAAAUUUCAUGAAACAAAUAAUGGUAGAAAAAAACAGGAAAAUGAUUUUCAGAAACUUAGGAAACAAAUCAUUUUGAAAUUAUUUGUCUCUAGCCACCAACCUAUUAUACACUAUACUAAAAGGGAUCAGUACCUUUAUUACUAUUUAUCUAGAUACAAAGCACUGUAGAUUGGAGCAGUAUAAUGACAGAGCUGCUCUUGCCAUAUAGAGUUGCAAGGAAAUCGGCGGGUUGUCUUUUCAGUGGGAUACAUAUGGCAUUAAAGGGAUGGUUGGGAAGAAAAUGAUCGGUUCUAAUUUUAGUGGGGUUGUAGGCCCCAGGCUGUAGACACUUGGUGUUAGGCCCGACAAGCCCUGAGCGCUAGGGCCAGACCCGCACGCCACGUGGGGCAGCAGGCCCCGAGCUGGAGACACUUAGCACUGGGUCCAACCGCGCGCAUGGCUACAGACCCGCAUGCCUAGAGUUUGGAGACCUGGGCGCCUGGGUUUGGAGACCGCGCGACUGGGGUCUGCAAAGCCCCCCAAGGCUCUAAGACAGCGCGGCUAGGUCAGCAGACCCAUACACCCUAGUUUGACUGUCUACUAACUGACAUCUGGGUCUGCAGACCACGCAAAGAGGAAUAACAAAUUCAAAAAAAUUGAAAAACGUGAAUAUCAAAUUUAAAAAACAACCACAGAUUUUAUUUAAAAGGUAAAAAUAUAAAUUACUAUUUUUAUUAUUAUAAUUAAUAAAUUUGAAAUAAAAUAUUAUUGUAAACAAAGAAAAACCAUUUAGUUGAUUUGAGGGAUAAUAAUAAUAAUAAUAAUAAUAAUAAUAAUAAUAAUAAUAAUAAUAAUUGUGCUAUAAAUAUUAUUAUUUUAUUAUAAUUGAUGAUAUUAAUAUUAAAAAUAGAAUUAUUUGUGGUAUAAAUAUUAUUAUUUUUAUUACAAUUCAAAGUAUUAAUAUAAAAAAUAUUAUAUUUGUGGUAUAAAUAUUAUUUUUUUUAAUUAUAAUUGAAAGUAUUAAUAUUAAAAAUAGUAUUAUUUGUGCUAUAAAUAUUAUUAUUUUAUUAUAAUUCUCUUGGGUCUUGCGUUAGGAUCCAAUCCUGUUAGGUCCAGUGUCGAGACAAAUUAGCCUUGGGUCAUGCGUUAGGACCCACGUCUCAUGAUCCGGAUACUGGACCUAACAUAAUUGGGUUCAGUGUCGGAACCCAACAUAAUUGGGUCCGAACACAGGACUCAAGGCUAAUGGGUCUUGAUGCAUAACCCAACAAAAUUGAGUCCCACCACCGGACCCAAGCCUAAUGGGUCCAGACACAUGACCCAUUAGACUUGGGGCCGAUGUCGGGACUCAAUUCCUUACUUUUGUAUUAAAAAAAAUUUAGAAGCGCAUAUGGCAUACAUUGUUUGGUGUACUAUAAAAGCAUACAUUACUAUUCUAUGUAUUGGGUUGUCUAAUUAUGUUAAACCUUGUAUCAUGCAGUAAAAAUGUUAAAUAUUAUUUUAGAAUUAACAAAAUCUAUUCCAGGCUUCAAGUUUAGAAAAUGUUGUUUUUUCACAUUUGUUUUUAAUCGUUUGGUUAGGGGUUUUUUGUCUUUUUUUUCACUAUUCUAAUGGUGCUAGGACUUUGUUACUACUAAAAAAAACUUGAAUUUGAUUUCAAACAUAAAAUUAAAAACUAUAAAAACUUUAAAAAAAAAAAAAAUUUGACCUCACAUUGUUUUGGACAUGAUAGACAUCUAAGUUCAAGAUGCUAGGACUUUGUAGUUGGUCAAGUCCAAGGUAUAAAUAUUGUUACGUUACCAUUUCACUGGAAUGCAUGUAGCAUUGAAAAAUGAUUAUGUAGAAAAUGAUCAGCUCCAGUUUUGGUGGGACUACAGGCCCUAGACUGCAGACAUCUAGGGCUGGGGCUGGCAAGCCCUAGGCGCCCACGCGCCACGUGGGGUUGCAGGCCCCAAUUUGCAGACACAUGGCGCUAGGGCCAGACCCGCGCGCAUGGCUAGCUGCAAAUCCAGGUGAGUGGGUUUGAAGACCAGCUCAGGACGCCUUAGUCUUGGGUCCUGCGUCCGGACCCGGGUCUCUUGGGUUCUGCGUCGGGACCCAAUCCUCUUGCAUCCAUUGUAUUUCUAAAUAUAAUUAUUUGUGUUAUAAAUAUUAUUAUUUUUCUUAUAAUUAAUAAUAUUGUAAUUAAAAAUAUUAUUAUUUUUAUUAUAAUUAUUAUUAUUAAUAAAAUAAUUAAUAAAUUAAAAAAACAUUAUUAUUAUUAUUAUUAUUAUUAAAUUUAAAAAAUACUAUCAUUACUAUUGAAGAAAAAACAUCAUUUUUUAAAAAGAUUAAAAAAUAUAAGAAUUUGAGAAGACAAGUUAAAUAUUAUUGUUUGGUCUAGUGUUAUAGUCAAACUCAACACUCUUGGGUUCGGCAUUGUAACCAGACUCGACACUCUUGAAUUUUAAAUUUUUUUAAUAAUUUUUAUGAAAAUAAAAGGUUAAUUCACGUAGUAACGGGAUCCAAGUAAUAAACUAAACAACCAACUUACUUGUUUUCAGGGCUUUCCAACCAGUCCUGUCUACAUAUAAAAGCCUCUAUGGUCUCUAGCCCCAAACCAUUGAAUGCUGGAUUCACCUUUGUAGCUUCACCGCUGAUAGUAGACUUUGAUAGAAUAGCUGAUAUCGGAAUUGCUACGAAAUCACGAGCCAUUUUACCAAGUGCUGGAAAUCUUGGAGCAUUGACUCGCCACCAAGCUAAUACAUCUGAAACCUUAUCCUGGUUUUCCACAGGCUCUCCUAAAUACCGAUCAAGAUCAGAUUUUGGCGGAUCAACCUUAAGCCACUCACAGAAUCCCAAGAACUUACCAUCGGAAUCCAGAUCAUAUGAUGGCAAACAACUGAUGUCGCUGGCAGGUGAUGCUAUAUAACCAGUGGCAUUCGCAUAACUGUUGUACAUACAUGUAAGUUUGCUACGAAAUUCCAGCAAGUAUUUGCUAGCAUCACUGCCAUACAUCAGCAAAAACCCAUACUGCACAAAUUUAAGUUUACAGCGCGGGUCGAGUACUAAUAGGAUUCCAAAUGCAAAACUCCAUUCACUCCAAUGCCUAUCAAGAUUCACCUUCAUUCUCUUCGCCAUCGAACAAACAUAUGCAUGCUCACUCUUUUCCCACGAAAGCAAGUUCUUAUAUAUAUAGCAAACAUGGAGGAAGCAUGCAUCUAUGCUUGAUGAAGAACUGCCUACAGAUUUGUGGAUCACUUUUAAACACCCACAUACAAUCAUCGCCAUCUUCCACUCCUCUGCAGAUGGAUUCACCUUAAAAUCAAAAUCAACUUGCUCGAGUUGAGUAAAAGCUUCUUUUAAUUCCAAUGCACUCAAGAGCAUGACAAAUGUGGUAUCCCAUCUGGUAGGAUCAUCAUGAGAGGCUGCUUUCAUAUCUUGCAAUUUCACAUUAUUACUUGCUUCCCGAAACUUAUCUUGGUUAAUUGGUGUUGCAUUCACAUAUUCAAUACAGCCCCUGAUCUUGUUAAGCACAUCUUUUAUCUCGUAAAACCCAUCUCGAGCAAGAAGUUCAAGAGUUUGUGCGUAGCAAGAAAAACAUAGUAAGUCCCCAUUCAUAUGUGGGAAUUGACUGACAAGCUUGCUUCUGAAUUCUCUAGUCAUUUGACUGUUUGGUGGAGCAAUUUCUGCAAACAUGAAGUGCACUUUCUUAAUGAUAUUCCACUCCACAAGCACAUCUUUCACAGCUUCAUUCAUAUAAUCAUGUUCCAUACUCCUGAAAGCCAAAAUCUUCUUAUUCAUCCUCCAUCCAUCAUCAAUAAAAUGCAUGGUCAAGCAGCAGGACAUCUUGUUAUCACCGUAUGACUGCAAAUCUAUUGUUAUACUGAAAAGAGAUGAGAGAUUAUCAAUAUAUUUCAUUAGUUUCUCUUUCUCUUGUCUGUAAAUAGAAAGAGCAUCAGCCUGAACAGUGUCUUGUGAACAGAGUUGAAACUUUGGCUGCAGAUCGCAGACAAAAGUUUUGAAGAACUCAUUUUGAACCAUAUCCAAUGGAAAUCCGAGCUUCAUAAUCAUUCUAACAAAGUUAAGGCGACUCCUUUCUUGAUCAAACACGAAAUUCCCUCCCAAAUCAGAGGGCAAUGUAUGUUGUUUUGCAUCUCUCUGUCCCCUUUUUGAACAACUUUUUAAGUGUUUGAGUAGAUUUGAAGUUCCCUUUGUGUUUUCCCCUGGAUACUUCUUUUGACAUCCUUUACAUAUGGCCCAUAUUGCACCAUUUUCUUUGUCUUUAACCUUAUCGAAAUGUUUCCACACUUCAGAUACCUUUCAUCGUUUAUUAUCAGCACAUUCGAUGAACAUGCUACCAUCAGGAUCUGGAGCAGGUUCAAUUUUAUCAUUGUUUUUACUAACUUUCGAGCCUCGUUUCGUGAUGAAUGGUUUUUCUGAAAACAUUCUCAAGCUCUUACAAGUUUGCUUUAUUGUAAGCUUCAGUUUCUCAACCAAUUCUUGCUGCUCUGAACUCUCUGUCACGAGGAUAGGGAGAAAGAACUCUAAUAUAUAGAUAUAAUCAUCACCAGUGCUCCUUAGCAGGAUUGCAACCGCAGCAUUCAAAUUAUACUUCCGUGCGUGAUGAGCAAGAGGAUAGUCCCUUACAUGCUUUUCCUUCACAUCAGGCUCAAAGGAAGUAAGACAUGUUUGACAGGCUUGUCCAGCAGCACCUUGCCCUGGGUACAGAAAUAGCUGCUCACAAGCAUGCACAAAGCCUUGCAUCUCCUCAUCUGCAUAACAAGCUGUACGCUCUAUUGCAAGUUCACCUGGCCACCAAAAACUUGCAUGACCUAAUUUUAAAAUAUCAUUAUCUCCCCAGGGAAUCCAUGUCAGAGCAAGUGGCAAUCUGUGUGUUUGGCAUACAGCUCUGCUAACAUCAGCGAUUUCAGUUAAGGCAGCUCUUUGAACCUCAUUAAAACACUGGGAAAAAAAUUCUAUAAGACAAAGCAAAAGACAACCUAAUUUUGCAUAGAAAAAACUAUAAUGUACUGAUACAUACCUGAGGACGAGAUACUAGUAAUUUGGUCCGUAAAUUCGCAGCCUGCAAACAGUUGGGCUUAUACAGAGUUCACAACACCAUCAAAGAAGACCAAAUGGGAACGCAGAGAUCACAGAAAAUGAAGCUAAGGGGGAAAAUUCACAUUUUAUGAGAUAUCAAAAGUAGAAAAGACAAAAACUUUGACUUCAAACUCGAUAUGCUAAGGAAAGCUACUUUCUUUCAUCUCUUUCUUAUUCUCCUAAUUCCUAUUCUUGCGGCUGUUAGGUUGUUAGAGUUAUUGUUGAAAUUGUCAAACUUCAUUAAGUUAAUAAUCCCUACUAGUUGGAAUAAGAGUCUAACUGUUUUCUUUAACUAUUUACAGUAUAAAAAGUGAAGUGGGUUGUUUUGUUUCAAUCUUAUCUCUUUGUAAUGCCAACAGUUUGCUUUGAAUUCAAUAAGGAUAUUUCAGAUAAUUUGAGUGAAUUGCUUUGUGGUAGAGUUUACAACAAUAAAUUGAGUGCUAUUUUCAACAAAAUCUGAUUGAAAAAAUAUAUAUACUGAAAACAAACCUGGAGAGCCUGGACAACUUUUUCCGUCUCUAAAUCAAAAUCCUGUUUCUCCUCCAUGGUCACAAGCUCCAGCACAGCACAGCAAUACUUGGGUUGAUCAGAUUCAAAGAUCGGAAAGGUAAUAAUACCCCUUACUCCACAAGAGAUGGCAUCUGAUAGGUGUGAGAAUUCACUCGGCCUGUAAUAACUUACAUUUGAAGUCCAUUCUGGAAAUUGACGCGCAUAAGUCCAUACCCGAUCCAAAAUGUCGUGGCCUGAAAGCCAUUUCCGACCCUCCAGUUGACGAUAUUCAAGUAGCGUAGAAUUUUGGACGCACAGGUGAGGGUAAGGGAGAUUUUCCUGGGCGAAUCCACGCUUAUCUUCAGCCCAAAAUUGUGCCAAAAAACAACCACUUCCUAAAGAAUCUUUAAGCAACAAUAACGCUUUUUUCAUCUUCGCACGUAGUCUUAACUUUGCAGGAGGCAAAUCAUCAUCGACGGAAGACAAAUGUUCCACGUCCAUUUGUAUUUGGACAAUGUUUUUUGGCCACAAGCCUUCUCACUCCUCAGAUCUUCUCACACAGUGGCUGGAAAGUGGAACGAUGAGGAGUAGGUAAAGGCUGAUCAGAAAUAGCUCUACCCAGAUUUUUUUGGCAGUGUCUUAAAACCAACUUAUCUUCUGCCCCUUAUUCACUGAUAUUUUACCUCUAUUCUGAUAGUUUAAUUCUUUUCAAUUUCAUCCUUGUGUUUUUCUUGACUAAAAAAAAGCUUAUUUAUAGCAGCAGAACUGGCUGAGAAUCUCAAGUGUAUUUGGAUUGUCCGGCCCGGUCACUAGCCCAAGCCAGUGACCCGGCUGGGCAAAGCACACGUGAACUUGUUCACGCGUGCAUGGGCACAGUGCGAAGGUAAUUAAUUACCUUCGCACAGUGCUAAAUGCACCAAAGAUUCAAAAGGAAUGAAAAGGAAGAGAAAGCUUACCGUGCCGCAGAUUGCUCUGCUGGAGUGUUAGCGUUUUGGGCGAAGAUCAGUGAAGGCGCUCGUUGCAAGGAAACUGGAAUUCCUCCUACCUUUACUUUCAUGCCCUCUGUUUCUUCUUCUCUCGUCUUUUUUGUUCUAUCGUCCCUGUGUUUGUCUCCUGCGUCUCCUUCCAGUUCUUCCCACGUUUGUUUUUGUUCGUUCCUCUGUUCUCUCCUGCUCCUUUUCUUUUUUUCGUUCGUGCUCUGUUUUCUUUUUUCCCCUCCUGCUUCUCCCGCUCGUCUGUGAAUUUGUGCCUUUUGCUCUGUCACUAUUUUGAGGCCUUUCUCUGGCUUUAUAAAAGCCAGAGAAGGUCUGGUGUCCCUGCCUCCAGAAAUGGUGGGCAUCUUGGAGGCGAGAGAUCAUGGCCGCAUCGUGGGUAUAGUGGCCGUGAUCUGCUGGGUUUUCCCCUGUUGAACCGGUCUUCAACAAGCAGAUGAUGAACAGAAGGAUCCAAAACGACGUCAUUUGGCAUGGAAAACGACAAAUUAUAGAUUGGUCCCUGAUGUUUUGAAAUGUAUCAAUUGGGUCUCUUCAUCAUAAAUUGUAAUUUUGCUCCUUGUAUUAAUUUCAAUUAAAUCCCUGAAUUUAUUUUAUUAAUUAAAUUAAAAUUUAAUUAAGUAAGUAAACUUAUUAAUUCUCUUGAUUUUAUUAAUUAAACUAAAUUAAAUUUUCAGACUUAUUAAUUUUAUAAUUUCUGAACAAUUUAAUUUCAAAUUUAAUAAUUUUAUCCUUGUAUUUAUAUUAUUUUAACUCCAUUCUUAAAUAUAUUUUUAUCCAUUUAUUUUUUAUUAUGUAUUCAAAAAUUAAGUUAUGAUAUCAUCUAUAUUUCAAUUUUGUUAACUAAUAAAUUUGAUUUAAUUACCUUGAAUUUAGUUUAAUAAGCAAUUAAAAAGUUUAAAGAUAAGAAUUAAAAAAUCAAAAUCAAAAUUUUGAACCAUCCAAAGAGUAAACAAUGCACGUGAAAAUAUUUUGGCAACAUUUAAUGUUUUUUAUAAUAAUAUAAUAAUAACUGUUUGGAUUUUUUAAUUUGGAUCACUUUAUAUUUUUUUUUUUCAAAGCUAAUUUUAAAUAGGAAUCAAAUAUCUGUCCAAUAUUUUUAAAAAUAUUUUUUAUUUAAAAUACAUUAAAAUAAUAUUAUUUUUUAAAUUAAUAUAUUAAAAUAAUAUGGUAUAAAAAUAAAAAAAAAAUUAAUUUAAAAUUUAAAAAUAAAUAAAAAUUUAAAUGUUUUUUAAAAAAUACUUUUAAAAUAUAAAAAUAAACGUUACGAUAGUUACCCUUCAUUGAAAUCAGUGCCUUUUUUUUAUACCAAAACCCAGAAAAAAAAAUCUUGAGCUUUAUACUCGCGCAAAAAAGGCAGUCUUUACUUAUAUUUAGCUUUAUCUGUGUGCUUAUAUGUAUAAAGAAGACAAAUUUGGAGGUGGGUUUGGUGUGUUAUUGUUGAUAUUGGAGUGUGGAAGUGAAUCACGGAGGCUUUCUAUACUGCAAAUUUUUGGAUGUCAUAUUACUGGAUUGUCCUUGCUACUCAUAGAAAGGAGGUGAGUGAUGUACUAGUUAGACCAUGGAUGUUGAGAUAUAUGUUUAUUGGCUGCUGAAAGCUGAUAUAUCUUGAUUUCUUGGUGUGUGCAGGCAGCUAUAUGUAUUGCAGGUUUGAAGAAAGUGAGGUUUUGCUUUCUGGGUUAUUUCUGUCGAAACAGGUAAAAGGUUAGGUUUUUCAAGUGUAAUUAUUGAGUUGUUUUUAGUUAUUCAAAAACAAAAAAAAAAAGGCUAAAGAGAGGAAAUUGAGCUGUUCUGUUUUGCGGGAAGAUAAAAUCUGAGCAGAAAGAGUGAAACUUUGAAAGAUUUGAAGUUAUGCAAGUGAGGGAAGAUAUUUGGAAACGAAGAAUUGAGUUUUGAGUAUUUUGGAGUGUGAUUUUUUGGAGUGUGAUUUUGGGGAGAUGAAAAUAUUUUUUUUAGUGCGGUUAUUAUUGUUUUUUAAAGUAUUUUUUAUAUUUAUAUGUAUUAAAAUAAUAUUUUUUUUAUUUUUAAAAUAAAUACAUCAAAACAAUUUAAAACACACAAAACAAAAUUAAUUUUUAACAAAAAAAAUUAAAAUUUUAAAAAACACAAAUACAAUCAUAUUUCCAAAACCUAAAAAAAAAAAAAAAAGUUUGAGAAAAGUCAAUUUGGCCUUGUAUGGCUGUAAAUUCUAUAGCUUUGUAUGAUCUAGAAUGGCUCUGGCGUCUAUUGCCUUUUUUUUUUACGCUAGUGCUCCUGCCGGCCGGCACCUGAAUUUAUAGAGCGGAGCGGAAAGUACAGGGGAGAGUGAGCGGAAAGUCAUUUUCUAAAUUGAUUAAUAAAAAACUUUUUAGUUAAAGAAAAAUUUUAUUUGAUUUUUUUAAAAAUAGUUUUUUUUUUAUUUUGAAUAUAAAAUAUUUUUAAAAAAUUAUGAAAAAUUUAGAAAUAUCAUAUUAUUUACUGAUUAUAUCAAAUUUAAUCCUUAAACUUUUGAUUGUUAUAUAUAUAUUUUUUUGAAUAUUUUUUUUAAUUUCAUUUCUUAGAAUUUGAUUUUUAUAUUAAUUUUAAUCCUUAUUUUUAUAAUUUUUAUUUUUUUAUUAUCAUUUUUAAUUAAAAAUUUUUAUCUAUCAAAUUUGAUCCUCAUUCUUUUGAUUGUUACUUAUUUUAUUUGAAAUAAUUUAUGAAAUGGUAAUUAUUAUUAUUUUAAUUUCUUCAUCUUUCAAUAUUUUUAUUUGUUAAACUUGAUCUCUAUUAUUUUAAUUAUUAUUAUUAUUAUUUUAAUUUCUUUAUUUUUUAAUAUUUUUAUUUGUUAGACUUGAUCUCUAUUAUUUUGAUUAUUAUUUAUUUUAUUUGAGAUAAUUUAUCAAAUUUUUUUUAAUUUCAUUCUCAUUCAAAUUUUUAAUUUAUAAGAUUUAUUCUUUAUUAUUUUAAUAAAGUUGAAAAAAAUAAAAUAUUAAUAAAUUAUUUUUCAGCUCAUUUUUCAUGACAUAACCAAACACUGAAAAAUAUUUUUCAAUUUAUUUUUUAUUAUACUAUCAAAUAAAAAAAAUAAUUUAUUUUUUCAGAAUUUAUUUUAAACAGCAUCCAAGUUUGAGGGAGAAGAAUAGCAAGGCGAGGAGUUACUGUAUAAAAGCUCCCACGCAAGAUGACGACAACGACGACGACAGAAAAUACUCAGGUGGGGCAGUUAUGCUUCAGUGCCACAAAUGAGGUGAUUGCUCAAGGAGUUUAGAAACACCAUUUUCAAUAUUCUGCUAACUUAUGGUAUCUUUCAAGCUCGUAAGCAUGCCAUCAGCUGUAUUAAGUAUUAGAUACUAAAUUAGUUACCAAUCUCUCUCAAGGAGGUGAUUGCUCUCAAUUUGAUCCCUAAACUAAAAUGUUUCUCAAUUAGGUCCUUACAAAGUUUGGCCAUUUCUCAAUUGAAUCCUUCUAUCCAUAUCUAAUGCCAUGGGAUGAAGUCGUAAAUCAAGAAAUAAAUACAUUCUCUACAUUUUUAAAAAGAACUUGAAAUGUCUUGUCGAAACAAUUGUGAUAAUUUUAGAUGAAAGGACUUAAAUCUGCAGGGAAAAAUUAUUUAUGGUCGUGACGGAAUUAAAUCACUCGAUCGUAGCUAAGUACCUAAAUAUAUACACUCAUUUCUCUGUGGAAAAAGGAAGAAGAAUUGAAGACAAAUAAGGACUGCCAAAACCAGCUAGCUGCCAUGGACUCGUCGAGAGUGGUGUUUUUUUUUUUUUUAGUUUAAUGUAGGUGUCCGGGCCAGCUUGCGCGCACCUCGACUAAUCCCACGGGCCCUGAAGUUAAUGAUCAUGUAAGCCUCCAGUGGCCAUCAUAUGAGCAACCACAGAGCUCGAAUCUGAAACUACAGAGAAAGCAAACCUUUUAAUCUCAAAUUUUUACCACUGGUGUUUUUGUUCAUAGCUAUGAUGGAAAUAUGGCUAAAGGCAGUUACAGGUCACAGAAAAUAUGAAGGAAUUUUGUUGAUUUGCCAGAUGAGAUUUGCAAUGUCGAAAAUUCUAGCUUCAAUGAAAAUGGAUGGUAGCAUAACAAAUUCUUCUAGGUUUUUUUUUUUUUUUUUUUAAUGCAGAGCCUCUAUUGUACCCAAAGCAAUAAAUUCAUGAUUCAAUUAUUUUUGGUCCAGUCCGAUUUUUACCUAUAAAAAUAAUCAAACUAAAAUUUUAUAAAAUAUAAAAAAUAAAAUCAAAACCAAACCGAAACGAAACCGAUCCCAACCUACCGGUUUUGGUUUGGUUCGGUUUUGGUUAUUUUAUAUUAAAAAUCAAAAACUAUACUAUUUUUUGAGGUUUUUUUUGGACUUUUUGACGGGCUUGAUUUAGGUUCGGUUCGGUUUUUUAUUUUUUUCUAUUUGAUUCAGUUUAUUUUUAACUAAAUCGGUUCGGUUCGAUUGAGGUUUUUUAGUUUCAGGCUUAUGAAACCUAACCCGAACCCGAAUCAAACCAAAUAUAUUUUUAAAUAUUCUAAUCAGUUUAAUCAAUUUUUUUAAUAACUUGAUUUUUUUAAUUAUUUAUUUUUUAAAUUUUCUUGAUUUAAUUAAUUUUUCAGUUUUUUUUUACCACUACUUUCUUUUUAAUUUACUAGUUACUAUUUAUAGGGUAAUAAUGAGUGUACUGAGAUUAGUUAAAUCUGAUUAAAAAUUCUAAAAUCCAAUUAAUUUUAUAAUUUCUAAUUAUUCGAUGAUUUAACAAGUGUAGAAUAAAUCACUCCAUUUCAGAACAUAAGUCAUGUCUAGAAAUGAUUUAUUGGCCUAUAUUGGUUUUAAUUGAAUUCAACCUAGAUCGUAGAUAUGGUCCAUGAAAGAAUGGAUGAUUAUUAUUUGGAAGGGAAAAAUUAAUCGGACCUUUAUUUGAGAUGGAGUUAAUUUGUCGAAGAAAGAGAUGGAGUUUGUCAUCAAUCGAAUGUUGGAGUUUGAGAAAAGUCAAUCGGACCUUAAAAAAUUUACAAGUACGAAUGUCCCACCCCCCCACCCCCACAGUCCGCCAGUCGGAAUGUUUAGGGAUCCCACCCCCCCCCCCCCCCCCUAUUUAUAGCACUCAGUCCCCCCACCCUCUCAGCCAAACCUCCUCCUCCUCCUCCUCCUCCUGCAGUCUCUUGCUUGUCUUUUAGUCCCACCACCAUCACAAGCAGCUAGAAUUCUUUCCCAGUCUUUUCAACAGUUUUUUCGAUAGUUUUUUGCGUUUCUUAUAAAUUCUUUCACAGUCUUCUCAAGCUUUAUACAUACAGCACAGGAAAACCAUGGAGAAUAGUGCUCGAGUUAUCAAGGGUUUUAUUCUUUCAAUUCCAGAAUCUGUGUCCCGACUCUGGCAUAGAGCACGACAACUGGAAUCACAGCAGCUACCACCUCCCACCAUGAACCAAGAAGGAGAGGCUAACCAGGGAAUGAAAUGGCAAAAGGUGCUUGUAAGCACCUGCUUCACAUCAGGACUUCAAAUAGCCCUUCAUUUUCACCAAAUUACUGAUUCCAAACUCGAUUCCUUGCAUUUAGUCUGUAUCCUUGUUGCAUUUAUCUUUUCUUGCCUCUUUGUUUCACAUUUUAUCAACCCCGCCAAGUUUCCGCGGACAUCCAAAGUGUUGGGUAAAGUUGCAGUUUUCCUGGUAGCCACCGUGUUUUUCAUCACCAUUUCAAUCCCAUUCCCCCCUGGUGUCAAGUGGGCUACUUGGAUAAUCUAUGCCAUUUCGUUGCUUGUUAUUGCAAUCUGCAAUUUCUGCUACUAGGCAUACAUUUUUUCUGUCAGUGUUUGUAUUUGUUCUUCAUAAUAAGGCUUAAAUUUUAAAAACGAACAUGUUGUUUCGUUGCUGCGUGUGUCGGUAUUUACUUAAACAUCAUAUAUCAAAAAGUUGAACACCAGAUUUCUGGUUUUUCCCCUCCUAUGUAUAUCCAAGCAUUUUCCAAUAGAAAAGCAACUCAAAAGUUUAUGAUCUUAAGCUUCAAUUUCAAGCAUAACAGGAGCGCAAUGUUGCAUUGACUGUUAAUUUAACUAGCAAGAUAUUUUCAUCCUAAUUAUAUCAUCUUGAAAACUAGUUGUUUUAUUAUCACUUGGUGCUUGAAUUAACCUGGCCAGAUCUAGUGGAUCGAUCGUUAAAUAACUCUUGCAAACUUCAAAUUCUUGGUUCAUCCUUUUUUUUCCCCUACCCAUUAUCUGUUUCACGAAAUUUGGUCUACAAAGUGGAGAAAGAAAAGUCCCGCACUUCCUUUUUGAUGAUUAUUAACAUGAUCAUGAUACUACAACAACAGCAAAAACUAAAAUCCUCUUUUGUCUUUCUGUGCGGUGUUUGGUAUCAACUACGCUAAGAUUUGAUUUGCAUCUCCUAAGCUCAAUUACAGUAUCAAUUUGUAUACCCACUGUAAACGAACCAACCAAAUAUUUAGAUAUUUGCUUCCCAGGUGAGUCAAAUCUCACAUCUGUGGAGACCAGAGAAGAACCAGGCUUCCCUUCCUUGCUGUUGCAAAUAUGGAUGACAAAAACAAAUUGAGAAAAAAUGAUAAUCCCAUAAAAUGUGAACAUUCAAUUUCGGGAGAUAAAAACUAUAGUUACAACAGAACAAUCACUUUCACAUGUUGUAAUCUCAUAGGACGCGUGAUAAUGCCUUAAAAGACAAUCUGGUUAAACAAAUUGAUACUGUAAUUGAAACUACAAGGUUGCACCAUUAAGCAUAGGAAAUGCAAAUCAAAUCUUAGCACAGAAAGACAAAAGAUUGACUGUGGUGUAUAUGUUAUCAAGUUUAUGCUAGCACCAGAAGAAGUGACAAAUCCUGAUUUUGUGGUAAGAUUUUAACAUUAAUGGCAGUCUUUCUAAUUAUCUAGCCAACAUGUAGUUCGACAGCGAUACCGAGAGGUUGGAAGUGGUACUAAGAUUGCUAGUGAGUGAUGUCAACUCAUGCAUGAAUGAUUUGGCUACUAAGGUUGAGGCAUAUUAUGAGCAGAGGUUUGGAAAUCAUUGAGAAUUUUUGGCAAGAAAUGAGAAUAUAAAAGACGUAAAUCAUCGAUAGGAAAGAAACUAUUCAGACAACAUAUAGGAAUUCAACUUCAAGGAAGCUUACCAGAGAAUGUGGGCUGCAUGAAAAGGAACUCAACGCUCAUCAAAUCAGAUGUGAACGGCUAUCAUUGUAAACAAAAUAGUAUAAUUGGUAUAGGCAUAAAAUGGGAAUACGGGAAACAGUCAUCUGAUUGCCCUGCCCCUCCUGCACAUUCCUGUGGAGAUUUCUGGCUGAACUAAAAACUAUGAGUUGUUUCAUUAUUUCAUGAUUCAUCUAUACCAUGUAAAUAUUAUAUAAAUGCAAAUCAGUUGCUCGACCUUACCCUUGUCAAUCCAUUGCACUGAGGACGACUGGUAUACGCAACAAUUUUGGUUGUCAUCCUUAAACGAUGCAGAAUAUACAAGACCACGAAGUUAUUGCCAAAAUGCAGAUAAAUCUAACAUUUUCCUGCUCAAAAUGCAGCAUAUUAUGGUUCUAAAACAUAGUAGCAAGGGAAAGGAACCUAUUUAUCAACAACGUACCAAGAGUGAGUACUUAAAGGGAACAAGAGGAUCUUCAAGGGAGAAACUUAUUUAUGAAGAACAUUUUGUUCUCUCUCCAGGACAAACAAUUUAUGCCCUUUCUUUCCUUUUGCAAGGCUUUUAAGUGAAAACAGGUUGCUAGUCAAGUUACAUAAUUUGUCAUCUAAAGAUACAAGAGAACAAAAGCUUCUGCAAUAUAGUAUACAGUAAAGUGAAGCUAAACAUUUUCAUCUCUGAAUUAAAAUCUGGUUUCUCCUUCACAGAGACAAGUUCCAGAACAGCACAGCAGGACAUGUCAUCUGGAUCAAAGAUCAAUGCAAAAGAACCUCGUUCUUCAUGAUCAGAUGCAUGCUUUGCCUGUAAGUACUCAGGCUUGCUAUAAUAAAUUACACUUGAAGUCCAUUCUGGAAUCUUAGAGAUAAACACACGACCAGGAAGGUCUAGUGGUAAACCAUGCUAGCAUUUGGUCAAACCAAGAAUGGUUGCUCUGAGGUGCUCAACAAGUAUUGAUCCCCGCUCCUUAUGGGAACCCACACCUGCACUUAAAUAACCCCUACAGAUGAAUCAUUGAACAAGGAUAAUGCCUCUAGCAUCCUCUCAGCAAGUGAUGAUGGCCUGGUUGGUUGAGAAAUAAUACAAUCUGAGGUGUUUUGGAAACAGUUUUGUGGACCAGCACCACUACUGUGUUUUGCACCCAGAUCAUCAGCAUCAAUGCAAUCUUAGGGAUAACCAAAAUACGAAUACGUUUGCUGAAGCACCACAUUAUCUCCACCAUUGUAAGAAGUCCCAGAAGCAUUUAUUUUAUCCAGCAAGGGAGCAGAAGUUUGUUCUGCAAAACUUUCUGCACACAGGAUGGAUAGGAUGUUGAUGGAAAAGAUGGCAUCCCAUCGAAGGCAAGCAUUUGAUCCAUAGCUGACAGGCUGUCGCACCAUCCAGCAUACAUAUCACAAUUCCUAAGCUCUGAAAAAAAGUUGAACGGGUCCUCCAACAAUGAAUUCCUAAGAGAAUCAUCGAAAGGUGGGACACAAUCUAUUUGAGCUCUUGGCCAAGCCCAAUAUCCCAUCCAUAUUUCUUUCGACGAGAAGGGGUUCUCCAUUGUGGUUAGUUAUAUAACUAACCAAAAUACUCUCCCCUCUUUUCAAUCAGAAUUCCAUACAAAGAACUCAAUUGACUCAAGUCUUCAUUUCCUAAUAUCUUCCCUCACUUGCACAACUUCAAAUCUUUCAAAGUUUCACUCUUUCUGCUCAGAUUUUUAUCUACCCGCAAAACAGAACAGCUCAAUUUCCUCUCUUUAGCCUUCUUUUUUUUUUUUUGAAUAACUAAAAACAACUCAAUAAUUACACUUGAAAAACCUAACCUUUUACCUGUUUCGACAGAAAUAACCCAGAAAGCAAAACCUCAAUCUCUUCAAUCCUGCAAUACAUAUAGCUGCCUGCACACGCCAAGAAAUCAAGAUAUAUCAGCUUUCAGCGGCCAAUAAACAAAUAUGUCAACAUCCAUGGUCUAAUUAGUACAUUACUCACCUCCUUUCUAUGAGGAGCAAGGACAAUCCAGCUAUAUGACAUCCAAAAAUUUGCAGUAUAGAAAGCCUCCGUGAUUCACUUCCGCACUCCAAUAUCAACAAUAACACACCAAACCCACCUCCAAAUUUGUCUUCUUUAUACAUGUACGCACACAGAUAAAGCUAAAUAUAAGUAGAGACUGCCCUUUUUUGCGCAUGUAUAAAGCUUGAGAUCUUCUUUUUCUGGGUUUUGGUCCAAAAAAAAGGCACUGAUUUCAAUGAAGGUUAACUAUCCUAAGUCUUAACCUCAACUUGUUUAUUUUUAUAUUUUAAAAUUAUUUUUUUUAAAGUAAAUUUUUAUUUAAUUUUUUAUUUUAAAUUAAAUUUUUUUAGUGUUUUUAUAUUAUAUUAUUUUAAUUUAUUAAUGUUAAAAAUAAUUUUUUAAAAAUAAAAAAUAAUAUUAUUUUAAUAUAUUUUAAAUUAAAAAAUAUUUUAAAAAACAACUAUAUUAUAUUUUAAAUAUUCAUAACUUGUGUUCGAAGAGAUUUGAUUUCUAUUUAAAAUUAGUUUUUGAAAAAUAAAAUUAUAUAAUGUGAUUCAAAUUGAAAAAGCAAAACUAUUAUUAUUAUAUUAUUAUAAAAAAACAUUAAAUGUUGCCAAAAUACUUUAGACGUGCAUUGUUUACUCUCUGAAUGGUUCAAAAUUUUGAUUUAAAAAAAAAAUUAUCUUCAAACUUUUUAAUUGCUUAUUAAGCUAAAUUCAAGGUAAUUAAAUCAAAUUUAUGAGUUAACAAAGUUGAAAAUUGAAAGAUAAAUGAUCAAAAUAAAUAAAAUGUAUAUUACAAAAAGAUAAUGAUUUAAAAAUUCUUAUAAACAGUUCACUUUCAUCUUCAAUCUUAGUAUAUUAUAUCUAUUCAGUUCUUAAAUAUCUUUUAAAUUUAAUUUUAAUAAAAAAAUUUAUAUUUGUUAUUUUUUUAUCUCUAAUUUGAGAAAAAAAGAUAGAGGUCAUCGAAUUCCGGCUAUAAAAAAAAGUUAUUAGUAAUAAUUUUAAUUAUUAAAAUAGUCAAUAUUAAUGUAAAAUAAUUUUAUUUAAUGAGUGUAGUUUAUAUUAAAUGUAUUUUUUCACGAAUUAUUCUGGGUCACAUCCCAAAAUCUACCCGUAUAAGACUGAAAGGUGAGCAUGAAACAACUGCAAUUGGGCUCAACAACAAUGCUUCCUUCUACCACUUUGAGAGGAAAACGCAUGUGCACUAUGGUAGAGUAAGAUACAGGGGGAAAAAAUUGACAAAACAGUGUAAAGUGGAAGUCUUUUGAACUCAAUCUAAUAACUAAGGCUGAAUCCUGAAAAUAAUAUUUUGUAGGGAAAUGCAUGCCUCUGUAAUAUCUUAUGGACUGACAGAAAGAAUCUUCUCUCUCUUUUUUAAUCCAUAUAUAAAAGCACAAACCGAAUGAAAAGCUGAUGAUAAAAAACCAUAUACAGGUCCCAGGCAUUCAUAGUUUGGCAUGAAAGCCAUAACAAGAAAGAAUCAGCCAAUACUGAAACAAUGCCAAUAACACAGAAAAUCUAACAUUAAGACUCCCUCCACAUUUCAGAAAAUAGAAAAUCAUUAAAAAUGACCUUAUUCAGUUCAUCAGGUAAUGUGGUUAAAAAAGAAAAAAGAAAAACAUAAAUACCUCCUCGCUGUCCUAAGCUGACACCGGGACUCCGCAGUGGUUCCCAGUGCAUAACAGCCAAGUAGAAAUUCCCAAACUUCUGGCCUAAUAGAUGGAUCCACACCCUAACACGCAGCAAACGAUGUCAUAUAGCUACACAGAAAUUCCAACCCACUUCAUAGAGAUAUGAAACCCAAAAUUAUAGACUAGAACCAAAUCAGCACCAUCUCAUUAUUCAACAAAGGACUGGAAAAUAAAUUUAAGGGGGCAAAAUAUAGCAACAACGAGACAGCAUACCCCCAAAACUAUCAACUUGAGUGCUUUCCGAAAACCCGAAACCUUUCCAUUACUAUCAAAAGUCGACUCCCAUUUCUCCGGCAUAAGCAUUUUGCUUACCUGCAACAUUAACAGCACAAAAUCCCUAUCAAGAUAAAAAAAAAAAAAAAUAAAAAAAAAACCUCACCGAUAACACGAAAUCUUAUGAAAUAAAAGGUUUGAGCAGUCAAUCUUAAAGUUAUAACAACCUUUAUAGGUGAUUGAGAAAGACAAGGCUCUCUCACAUCCUUCACCAUUGUUCCUACUCUCUGUAAAUUCACCACCGAUAUCGCUUUUCCACAUUUCCAUUGCUUCUCCUCUCUCUCUCCACUAGACAUCUACACCAAAAAAAUCCUCCUUUUCUCUCUCUCUCUCUAAUUAUUUUUCUUAGUCCUUCCUAAAUAUCAUCGCCGUGUAAUUAACUGACAAACUCAACAACUGCAAUUGCGAAAUCAAAAUUAAUGAACCCUCAUUAACUGAAAAUUUUGAUUAAUGAUGAAAAAACAUCGAAUUUAAAUAAAAAAAAAUACAUGAAAUUAAUAGAUUAACUGGAAAUUGGAAACGUCGAUCGAAAUGGAAUAGACAUGCAGCAAUGAUCGGACGAUCCAAUCAAAAUGUAUGUACGCAUGAAAAAAUAAACGUAGCAAUAUACUCGUAUGAGAAAGAAGGUAUGUGUACGAAUACGUACAAAUGUACGGAGAGAGUACCUGGAGAAGAAAAUUGAGAACGCGGAGAAUGGUGAAGACGAAGAAGUUAGGAGGAGGAGGAGGAGGAGUUUGUUGUCCUCCGUCGCCAUUUACGAAGAAUUUGUUUUUUUUUUUAAAGAGAAGAAAAUAAGAAAAAGAAAAAAGACCGUUUAUUCUUCUCUCUUUCUAGUUUUUUAUCCUUAUUUUUACCCCUGAUUUUUUUUUUCAUUUAUUUUUUUAUUUAGGAAUAAAAUGUUUUCUUUUUUUCUUUAAGAAGUAUAAAUUCUAAUAUGAUUAAUUUAUCCUUUAUGUUUUAUGUUUAAGGGUGUCGGGUCCUUUAAGAUAUACAUAUACAUAUACAUAUACAUAUACAUACAUACAUAUAUGGUUUAGUUUUAGCAUUGUUUUUAGCAUUUGGAGCGGGUUCAAUUUUAGCAUUGUUUUUACUAACUUUAGAACCUCGUUCCCAGAGUAAUUCUUCUUUUGAAAACAUUCUCAAGCUCUUACAAGUUUUCCGUAGUGUAAGCUUCAGGUUCCUAACCAAGCCUUGCUGCUCUGAACUCUCUUUCAUGAGGAUAGGGAGAAAGAACUCUAAUAUAUAGUUAUAAUCAGCAUCACUGCCCCUUAGCCAGAUUGCAACUGCAGCAUUCCAAUUAUACUUUCGUGCGUGAUGAGCAAGAGGAUACUCGCUUACAUGAUUUUCCUUCACAUCAGGCUCAAAGGAAGGAAGAUAUUUUAUAAAGGCUCGUCCAGCAGCACCUUGCCAACUGUGCAUAAAUAGUUGCUCACAAGCAUGCACAAAGUCUUGCAUCUCCUCAUCGGCAUAACAAGAUGUACGCUCUAUGAAAAAUACACAUUUCCGGAUCAUCCUUGAAUCACGUAAUCUGACACGCAAUUUUGAAAUAUCAUCAACAGCUCCCCAGGUAUAAUCACAAGGAAUCCAUGUCAGAGCAAGUGGCAAUCUGUGUGUUUGGCAUACAGCUGUGGUAACAAGUAGAAAAAAAAUUCUAUUAGACAAAGCAGAAGACAACCUAAUUUAGCAUAGAAAAAACUGUAAGCUACUACUGAUAAAUACCUCAGGACGAAGUCGAGUUUGUAAAUUGAUCCAUAAAUCGGCAGCCUGCAAACAGUUGGGCUUAUACAGAGUUUAUAACACCAUCAAACAAGACCAAUGUCUCUUUGCACAUAUAAUUUAAUGGCACAAAUAUUUUGGAAUCAAGCUAAUGCAGUUGUAAUAAGGAAUGCCUCAUCAGCUCUAAUUUAAAGCUUAAAGAUUGUUUCACCUCAGAAACACUAGCAAAUGCAAACACAGAGAUCACAGAAAAUGAAGCUAAUGGGGGAAAAUUCACAUUUUAUGAGAUUUCGAAAGUAGAAAAAACAAUAACUUUGACUUCAAACUCGAUAUGCUAAGGAAAUCUACUCUCUUUCAUCUCUUUCUUAUUCUCCUAAAUCCUGAUAAUAAAUUGGGUAGUAUUUUCAAUCGAUAUCCAAAAUCUGAUUGAAAAAAUAUAUGUAAUGAAAACAAACCUGGAGAGCCUGGAAAGUUUUUUCCGUCUCUAAAUCAAAAUCCUGUUUCUCCUCCAUGGUCACAAGCUCCAACACAGCACGGCAAUGCAUGGGUGCAGCAGAAUCAAAGACCAGAAAGGCGAUAAUACCCCUUACUCCACAAGAGAUGGCAUCUGAUAGGUGUGAGUAUUCACUCGGUCUGUAAUAACGUACAUUUGAAGUCCAUUCUGGAAAUCCACAAU
rnacentral:lncRNA from 1 species